UGAAGAAAAAGUGUGGGAUUUCAAGGAAUCAAGCAAUCAAAAGUGGCGAAUCCUCUGGCAAGGGCAAAGAAAUCGCACCUGAGGAGUAAUAGUUAGAGUACCCGAAUUUAGUAUUCAGAAACUGUUCGAGAUAGCCGGUAGAUAGCCGAUUGCAUCAAGGACUU